rnacentral:lncRNA from 1 species
GACGACACGAUCGGAGACCUUAAGAAGCUAGUCGCGGCCCAAACCGGAACUCGGGCCGACAAGAUCCGUAUCCAGAAGUGGUAUACGGUUUACAAGGAUCAUAUUACUCUCAAAGAUUACGAGAUCCACGACGGUAUGGGCCUCGAGCUUUACUACAAUUAAAUUUUUUUUAUGUAAGCUGGGUGGUCUUUGUUUGAACAAGCUUUAAAUUUUAUGUAUGAAUGUAAUAUAAUCGUGGAUGAUGGUAUUUACUCUUUUUUUUUUUUAAAUAUUAAUGGAGGAAAAUAAGUUCUUGGAUUCGUUUGGCUCUUUUUAAUAGUGUUAAAUUCAUGAAUUCUUAUGUUUUAAUAUAUAUGUAUGUGUAUAUAAUACACACCCCUUUGGUUAUGGAUUAUGGAAAAUUGGGCACAAUGUUUGAGGGGGAAAAUUGAAAUCGGUAUUGUUGGCUAAGGUGGAAGCCUUGGGUAUUUGAGUACUUGGGUUUGAAUUUCAUCAUCCAUUAUGUUUUGUAUUAGUUUGAAUUUACCUUGUAUAUUUGUGUUUCUACUUGUGAGUGUUACUGUAUUUGUAGUAGUAAAACUUUCAUAAAGAAAAUCUGAAAUUCAAAAAGAAAUUUGCAUCAAUUCCAUUCAUAUGAAAGAGUAUCUUAGAAUAUGAUAUGUAGAACGGAAUUUUAUUCUUUAAUAUUUAGAAUUUGGUGCUUGUUCAUGUAUUCUCAGUUAUUUCAUCACUGGGAAAAAAAUUCAAGAAGAAACUGUAUGGAAUGGUUACUUUUAUUCAAUUAUAUUAUAUAUAACAUAAUUGUUAAUGAAGUGUUGGCCUUGUUUACAAAAGCAAAAGCUUUGAGUCCAUAUGAAAAUUAUCUUCAGGAAUUAGUUGAGUUAGUUUGAAUCAAGUUAUUUAGUUUAGUGAUUAUAAUUAUUGAUUCUAAUUGAAGCUGUGGGUAUAGUUAGUGGGUUGUAACUUCAAAAAUAUAAACAGUUAUGAUAUUGGAACAUGUUUUUUCAUUCUGUGUUAUUUUUUAUGUUUCUUUCAUGUUAUGUCUAAAAUUAUCGUAGUUAAGCCAUUUGAGUUUAGCUCAAUUGGUAUGGGCAUUGUUCCAUAUGUAGGAGGACAUGAGUUUGAGUACACUGAAGUGUAUUAUUCUUCUAUUUAUGAGUUGGGGAGGGAUUACUGGUAAUUCUAAGCAUUGUGUCUAAAAAAAACAAAUAUAAUCAGAAUCUCUAAUGAGAUUGUUCAAAAAAAAUUUAUAAAGAGUAUAUUUUUGAGCUUGUUUCACGUAAACAUGGACUUUCAAGGUUUGAAGACCAAACGUUAUUAUUCUAUCUAUUAUUUUCAACAGGAUACAAUUAGUAUUAAAAAAGAAAAGAAAAACUAAAAUUCUAUUUAAAAAUUUGAGAGUAUGUGCAAACAAAUUGUUUAUUUCUAAGGUGUUCUUAUGUGAUUUGCCAUAAUGCAUCUGAUUAGAUACUUUUUUUUCCGGUCAAAUCGAUACAGUAGUUUUUGACACAAUACAAUUACUUGAUAUACAAGUCAAAUUUAUGUAAAUAUUUGUUUUAAAAUAAGAUUUAAAAUGUAAAAUUUUAUGAAUAGAAUUUUUAAAUCUAAUUGAUUUUGUCGUAAUUUAAUUGACAUUGUUAUUAUUGCAACAAUUAGGAAUGCAUUAAUUCGAGUGUGUUGGAGUAUAUAAAAUCGGUUUGAUGGUUGAAUUGGUCCAUUAUUGUUUACGUGAAUCAAAUAAUACUGCUUUUCCAAAAUUCUUAAAAGUGUAAAUUAACCAUUAAAUUUUUAGGCAUUUUUGAAAUAAAACAAAAUUACAUUAUGGAGCGCCAGAUAGUGAAAAUAAUAUUUGCAAAUUUAGAUUUUCUUUCAAAGUGAUAAUGCAUAUUUUCUUUUUAAUUUCUACAAUUAAUUUUAAUAUUUAUACAGUUCAUUAUUUCAUCUAUUAUUAUUCACAAUAAACUAAUUUUUUUUAUUAGACCAAUAAUUUAUUUUUCUAAAAGCUAUUCAAGGAUGGAGUUAGUCAACAAGCUCAUGUAGGUCGUAGAAUAUUCACUUUAGGCCUACCCUACCAAAAUGGGCAAAUUGGGUUUCAAAAAAUUUUGGGCUUCGAUAAAAUAUCUAAGCAAAGGCUAAACUCCUUGCUCAGCUGAAUUGGGCUUUGAAUUAUUAUUUAAAAUUUAUUUUUAGAAAGUACAAAUCUUAGUUUUUUUUUAAACAAACAAAAGGAUUAGAAUUAACUUCUUCUUCUUCUUCUUUUUUAACAAUCUCAUUAUAGGUUCUGAUCAUAUUUACUAUUUUUUUAACACAAUGCUUUAAACUACUCAUAGUUCCUCCCCAACCUAUGAAUAUUUUCUCCUCAACCUAUGAAUAAGAAAAUAAUGUGCUUCAGUACACUCAAACCACAUCCUCCUGUAUUGGCAACAAUGUCCAUGCUAGUCGAGUUAAUACUCAAUUGACUUAGAACCAACUAAAUUAAACAAAAGGAAUCCCUCCAAACAAUUGCAAUCCUUCUUCCCUGUCAAACGCUAUUUUGGCCAUUCAGUCAACUUCUUUAUUUUCUUCUCUAGGGACAUGUUCUAGCAUCCAAUUCCUCACAUUCUCCAAGAGUUGAUAUAUUCAUCUGAUUAACACCAAGCUUGAAGUCUUCCUAAUAGAUUCUUGGAUAGCCACAAUAACCUCCAUGUUUUUCGUCUGCACCAAUACUCUAUCACAAUGUAUGUUGUGCAACAGUUUCAAGCCAUCUAAAAUAUCUCAUAAUUCAACAUUGAAAAUCGAACAUUUUCCCAAACGUAAAUUAAAACCAAGAAUCCACUCUCUAUGCCAAUCCCUCAAAAUUCUCCCUACAACAACAUACCUUAAAUCCACCUUAACAGCAUUAUCAAAUCUUAUUCGUAUCCAACUACCUGUCCAAAUGGACUCCCUCCUCACAACUUGCCUUGCAACUUGGGAAUAAAAACGAAUUAUUUUACCCAGCUAUAUGAACCUUUGAUAAUUUAUUCUACACUCCACGGUACUUUUUAAAAAAUAUAGGUAUUUCUAUUCUUCUAUAUACGCCAUGCAACUAGAUCAAAAAAAACACGAUCAAUUGACCCCUCUCUAAAAAAUUUUUUAAACGAUUCUCCACUCCCGCAAACUUCCGGAAAAGAAGCAUCCAUGCUCCUCAACCGGAAUGAUACGAGACGUAACCAAAAAAAAAAAGUAAAAGAAAGACAAACUCUUUCUUUAAUAAUAAAUAAUAAAUAAUAAAUUUGUUCUUAUUUAAAAAAGGACAAAUUAAUAAAAUCGGUGAUACGACAUCGUUUAAAGAAACAAAAAGGCAAAAGUAGUCAACGGGUAAUAUUUGGCUUUAAAAUAAUUCCAAUAUAAAAUCCACCCCCACGCUUCGCUUUUCUCUUAUUUCCAGGGUUAACAAAUUUGGGGAUUAGGGUUUUCUCUGAAAUAGUCUUUUAAAAAAAAUCGAAGAUGAUCGAGGUGGUGUUGAAUGAUCGGCUAGGGAAGAAAGUGCGCGUGAAGUGCAACGACGACGACACGAUUGGAGACCUUAAGAAGCUGGUCGCGGCCCAAACUGGAACUCGAGCAGACAAGAUCCGUAUCCAGAAGUGGUACACGGUUUACAAGGAUCAUAUUACCCUCAAAGAUUACGAAAUCCACGACGGUAUGGGUCUCGAACUUUACUACAAUUAAACAAAUAUAUUUAUGUAAUCCGUGUGGUCUUUGCUUGAACAAGCUCUAAAUUUUAUAUAUGAAUGUAAUAUAAUCGUGGAUGAUGGUAUUUACUUUUCUAAGGAUUAUCAAUAGAAG